UCCCCCUAAUCGGAGGCAGUCUCGCAUGACACUUGUAACAUGCAAUAGGGGUUGCGUUCGUUACCCCACUUAAGGGAACAGUUCACACCACGAACUGACGACGGCCGUGCAUCACCUGCUCUGCCGUCCUUGUGAGAAAUUUCGAGUUUCCCCGAAACGUCGACAGAGUUUCAAACCCUGGUGAGGUUCCUCGUUUGCCAUCGAAUUAAACCACAUGGCCCACCGCUUGUGCGAAUCCCCGUCUAUUCCUUUGAGUUUUAGCCUUGCGGCCGUACUUCCCAGGCGGCAGACUUAACGCGUUAGCUAAGCCACUCGGAGGGUCGAUACUCCGAACAGCGAGUCUGCAUCGUUUAGGGCGUGGACUAC
rnacentral:misc_RNA from 1 species